rnacentral:rRNA from 1 species
GGACGAACGCUGGCGGCGUGCCUACUACAUGCAAGUUGAGCGCUGAAGGUUGGUACUUGUACCAACUGGAUGAGCAGCGAACGGGUGAGUAACGCGUGGGGAAUCUGCCUUUGAGCGGGGGACAACAUUUGGAAACGAAUGCUAAUACCGCAUAAAAACUUUAAACACAAGUUUUAAGUUUGAAAGAUGCAAUUGCAUCACUCAAAGAUGAUCCCGCGUUGUAUUAGCUAGUUGGUGAGGUAAAGGCUCACCAAGGCGAUGAUACAUAGCCGACCUGAGAGGGUGAUCGGCCACAUUGGGACUGAGACACGGCCCAAACUCCUACGGGAGGCAGCAGUAGGGAAUCUUCGGCAAUGGACGAAAGUCUGACCGAGCAACGCCGCGUGAGUGAAGAAGGUUUUCGGAUCGUAAAACUCUGUUGGUAGAGAAGAACGUUGGUGAGAGUGGAAAGCUCAUCAAGUGACGGUAACUACCCAGAAAGGGACGGCUAACUACGUG